CGAAUUUGCCGGCAUCCUAAACAUGCAGUCGACGAUCCGCCGAAGGCGGAUAGUGGCAGACGGGUGAGUAACGCGUAAGUUACCUACCCCUGAGUGGGGAAUAACCCCGAGAAAUUGGGGCUAAUACCGCAUGACGCGCUGAGAAUAAUAUUUUAGCGUCAAAGCCGCAAGGCGCUUGGGGAUGGGCUUGCGCCCUAUCAGGUAGUUGGUAGGGAAACGGCCUACCAAGCCGAUGACGGGUAGCUGGUCUGAGAGGAUGUCCAGCCACACUGGGACUGAGAUACGGCCCAGACUCCUACGGGAGGCAGCAGCAAGGAAUUUUUGCGCAAUGGGCGAAAGCCUGACGCAGCACCGCCACGUGGCUGAAGAAGGCUUUCGGGUCGUAAAGCCCUUUUGUUAGGGAAGAAGUUCUGACGCUACCUAAUGAAUAAGCCUCGGCUAACUACGUGCCAGCAGCCGCGGUAAUACGUAGGAGGCGAGCGUUAUCCGCAUUUAUUGUGCGAAAAGAGCGCGUAGGCGGCCUAUUAAGUCGGUUGAGAACAUCUCUCGCCUUAACUGAGAGGGGUCAACCAAAACUGCUGUGCUUGAGGACAGAAGAGGGAGGUGAAAUUCCCGGUGUAGUGCUGAAAUGCGUAGAUAUCGCGAGAAACACUAGUGGCGAAGGCGGCAUCAUGUCUGUUCCUGACGCUGAGGCGCGAGAGCGUGGAUCGCAAACGGGCAUAGAUCCCCUGUUAGUCCACGCGGUAAACUAUGGUACACUAGAUAUGGGGGGGUAUCGACCCCAUCCGCGCCCGAUGUUGACGGCUAUAAGUGUCCCAGUCUGGUGAGUACGGCCUGCAAGGC
rnacentral:rRNA from 1 species